GCCUCUAUAGCACAGUGGUAGUGCGUUGCACUUGUAGGUACAUUAUCUAUGAGAUAUGCAAAGGUCCCUCGUUCGAUCCGGGGUGGAGGCA